rnacentral:rRNA from 1 species
GAUGAACGCUAGCUACAGGCUUAACACAUGCAAGUCGCGGGGCAGCAUGUCGGUUGCUUGCAACCGAUGAUGGCGACCGGCGCACGGGUGAGUAACGCGUAUCCAACCUUCCCGCGGCCCGGGGAUAGCCCGGUGAAAACCGGAUUAAUACCCGAUGUUGUCCCAUGAGGUCAUCCGAGUGGGACGAAAGGAUUUAGCGGCAGCGGAUGGGGAUGCGUCCGAUUAGCUUGUUGGCGGGGUAACGGCCCACAAAGGCUACGAUCGGUAGGGGUUCUGAGAGGAAGGUCCCCCACACUGGAACUGAGACACGGUCCAGACUCCUACGGGAGGCAGCAGUGAGGAAUAUUGGUCAAUGGGCGUAAGCCUGAACCAGCCAAGUAGCGUGCAGGAUGACGGCCCUACGGGUUGUAAACUGCUUUUGUCCGGGAAUAACGCGGUCCACGUGUGGACCUUUGCAUGUACCGGACGAAUACGGACCGGCUAAUUCCGUGCCAGCCGCCGCUGUAA